rnacentral:rRNA from 1 species
UUAAAGAGUUCUAUAACUCCCAAACCCAUGUGAACAUACCUAACGUUGCCUCGGCAGGUCGCACCUACCUUGUAGCACCCUACCCUGUAGGGCCUACCCGGGAGGUGCGGGUAAGCCUGCCGGCGGCCCACCAAACUCUGUUUGAUAUUGAAUUCUGAACCUAUAACUAAAUAAGUUAAAACUUUCAACAACGGAUCUCUUGGUUCUGGCAUCGAUGAAGAACGCAGCGAAAUGCGAUAAGUAAUGUGAAUUGCAGAAUUCAGUGAAUCAUCGAAUCUUUGAACGCAUAUUGCGCCCAUUAGUAUUCUAGUGGGCAGGACCGUUCGAGCGUCAUUUCAACCCUUAAGCCUUCGUUGCUUAGUGUUGGGAGCCUACGGCAACGUAGCUCCUCAAAGUUAGUGGCGGAGUUGGUUCACACUCUAGACGUAGUAAUUUUUUAUCUCGCCUAUUAGUUGGACUAAUCCCCUGCCGUAAAACCCCCAAUCUAUAUCAAGGUUGACCUCGAAUCGGUUCAGACAAACUCGCUAAAUUGAAGCAUCUUAGUCAGCGAAGGAAAAGAAAC